rnacentral:sRNA from 1 species
GUGCUUAAUCCUGGUGCAGGGGGCGAGCAUGGCCGCUCCGCGAGUGAGCACCCCCAGCUCUUGCCUGGUUUCCCGGGACACUAGGGUGGGGCCUGAGGAGUGGAGUGGCAGCUGACCCUGUCUGUGCCCCUAGUAUUCCCACUUUCCUGUGCGGUGCAGCAGUAUGCCUGGGGGAAGAUGGGUUCCAACAGCGAAGUGGCGCGGCUGUUGGCCAGCAGUGAUCCACUGGCCCAGAUCGCAGAGGACAAGCCCUAUGCAGAGGUGAGCCCCGGGCUGUAUUUCAGCCCACUUUACCCGCAGGUCAGGAGAAAGGGCCUGAGGCAAGUCAUAAGAAUCAGCUGGGAAGGGUGAGGCAGCAAGGAGGGAGGAGACCCACUUGGCUCUUCAGGCUAAUGGACUAGAUAGUGUUAUCAAAAAGAAGAGAGGUUUUGUCAUAAUAGGCUGGGAUUUCCAGCACUCUCCUUCCCCCAACCACUCUUAGCACUUAGUGAAUUUUAAUUCAGCCCUCUUUGACAAUUAAGUUUUUUUACUUUGACUAUUUUUUUGCAUUUUUAUUAACCUAAAAUAUUUCUCCUGCCUA